rnacentral:rRNA from 1 species
GACGUAAAGGGUGUGUACGAGGUCGGAAAAGUCGAAUGUGAAAUCCCUCUGCCUAACGGAGGAACUGCGUGCGAAACUGUCUGGCUAGAGGUUCGGAUGGGGAAGCGGAACUCUCGGUGUAGCAGUGAAAUGCGUAGAUAUCGAGAGGAACACCGGUGGCGAAGGCGGCUUCCUGGACGAAACCUGACUCUGAAACACGAAAGCUAGGGGAGCAAACGGGAUUAGAUACCCCGGUAGUCCUAGCUGUAAACGGUGUGCGUUAGGUGUUGGCGGAUUCGACCCCGCCGGUGCCGAAGCUAACGCAUUAAACGCACCGCCUGAGGAGUACGGUCGCAAGGCUAGAACUCAAAGAAAUUGACGGGGGCCCGCACAAGCGGUGGAGCAUGUGGCUUAAUUCGAUGCAACGCGAAGAACCUUACCUGGCCUUGACAUGCAGCGUUCAGUCCCGGAAACGGGAUGGCCCGCAAGGGCGAGCUGCACAGGUGCUGCAUGGCUGUCGUCAGCUCGUGUCGUGAGAUGUUGGGUUAAGUCCCCCAACGAGCGCAACCCCUGUGUUUAGUUGCCGAAAGGUUCUCUAGACAGACUGCCCUCUUCAAGGGGGAGGAAGGUGGGGACGACGUCAAGUCAGGAUGGCCCUUAUGGCCAGGGCUGCACACGUGCUACAAUGCUCGGCACAAAGGGAAGCAAGACCGCGAGGUGGAGCAAAUCCCCAAAACCGAGCCCAGUUCGGAUUGAAGGCUGCAACUCGCCUUCAUGAAGCCGGAAUCGCUAGUAAUGGCGCAUCAGCUACGGCGCCGUGAUACGUUCCCGGGC